rnacentral:misc_RNA from 1 species
CAACCCUCAAGCCUAGCUUGGUGUUGGGGCACCGCCUUUGCAAAAGGGCGGGCCCUGAAAUCUAGUGGCGAGCUCGCCAGGACCCCGAGCGUAGUAGUUAUAUCUCGUUCUGGAAGGCCCUGGCGGUGCCCUGCCGUUAAACCCCCAACUUCUGAAA